rnacentral:rRNA from 1 species
AGAGUUUGAUCAUGGCUCAGGACGAACGCUGGCGGCGUGCUUAACACAUGCAAGUCGAACGGUAAGGCCCUUCGGGGUACACGAGUGGCGAACGGGUGAGUAACACGUGGGUAAUCUGCCCUGCACAUCGGGAUAAGCCUGGGAAACUGGGUCUAAUACCGAAUAGGACCACAGGACACAUGUCCUGUGGUGGAAAGCUUUUGCGGUGUGGGAUGGGCCCGCGGCCUAUCAGCUUGUUGGUGGGGUGAUGGCCUACCAAGGCGACGACGGGUAGCCGGCCUGAGAGGGUGUCCGGCCACACUGGGACUGGGAUACGGCCCAGACUCCUACGGGAGGCAGCAGUGGGGAAUAUUGCACAAUGGGCGAAAGCCUGAUGCAGCGACGCCGCGUGGGGGAUGCCGGCCUUCGGGUUGUAAACCUCUUUCACCAUCGACGAAGGUCCGGGUUUUCUCGGGCUGACGGUAGGUGGAGAAGAAGCACCGGCCAACUACGUGCCAGCAGCCGCGGUAAUACGUAGGGUGCGAGCGUUGUCCGGAAUUACUGGGCGUAAAGAGCUCGUAGGUGGUUUGUCGCGUUGUUCGUGAAAUCUCACGGCUUAACUGUGAGCGUGCGGGCGAUACGGGCAGACUUGAGUACUGCAGGGGAGACUGGAAUUCCUGGUGUAGCGGUGGAAUGCGCAGAUAUCAGGAGGAACACCGGUGGCGAAGGCGGGUCUCUGGGCAGUAACUGACGCUGAGGAGCGAAAGCGUGGGGAGCGAACAGGAUUAGAUACCCUGGUAGUCC